rnacentral:lncRNA from 1 species
AGAACAGCCCAGGACUGACUAGAAGUGGGAAGAUGGAAUUUCAGAGCACCAUUCUGCCUCUUCCUUUAUGUGAUCUUGUAGGGGUCAGUGCAGACCACUGACAAUACUUAGACAUUACACAUGUGCCUUUAUUCUACCCUUUCAACAGUACCAAUGCAGUCCUGUUUGCUCAGUGUUCAUGCUGAAUGUCCCUAAUGAAGCUGUACCUAUAAGCCAUCUGGAUCACUGCAGAAAUGAUCAUCUGAAUUUCUCUUUUCUGAUGUCGGUAUUCCAGGACUGCCAGCCUGCCGACAGCCUCUGCAGAAACUCCGCACACCCUUCCGUUGAGUGUUCUGAGGAAGUAACCAUCUUCAGACAGGGAAAUUUUUGCUGAACUGGAAAAACAGUAGGAGUGUUUUGCCUUCACUCCAUCACCGAAUAGCAGGUGUCCAGGUUCUGGUUGCCUGUUACACGUAAGUGCCCCCAAUCCUGUUUUUCCUACGUGUGGUUGGUGUUUUGAACAUAUUCAAUGCUUGUGUUUGUUAUCUUUACUCGAGACUCCUACCCUCCCCCAGUCACUAUAUUCAUUACCCUGAGCCUUUCAACCUGGGGCUGUAGACCAGGGUGAAAAAAAAAAACCAACACACAAUUGCUCUUAAGCUCAGAAAAUUGAUUUUCCCGAGUUUAAGUGGGCAUCAUGAGUUGUUAACCCUGUUAGAAAAAUACAAGUUGGAUUUAUGAUUCCCUUACACAGGUAAUUGGGCUCUAAUUUUAAAUUCUGAGCCAAUUGAUUUACACUAUAUUGCAUUAUAACAUAGCAAAAGUGCAACUGAGUUCAGGUGAUGUAUGAAUUUGAGCCUCCAAUUAUGCGAUAAAUUAUUUUUGGUUCUUUAACAAAUGAUGCCUAGGUUGACAUCAACCUGUCAUUGUUUCCUCUGUCUCCCCCUACUCUGUAACUUUCUCCUCUUUCUUCUCCUUUCAGCCUUUUUUCUUUCUAACCUUGCAAGGCUCAGGAAUGACCUACUUCAGAAAUCC